rnacentral:rRNA from 1 species
CCUACGGGAGGCAGCAGUGGGGAAUAUUGGACAAUGGGGGGAACCCUGAUCCAGCCAUGCCGCGUGUGUGAGGAAGGCCCUCGGGUUGUAAAGCACUUUCAGUGAGGAAGAACGCCUGGUGGUUAAUACCCAUCAGGAAAGACAUCACUCACAGAAGAAGCACCGGCUAACUCCGUGCCAGCAGCCGCGGUAAUACGGAGGGUGCGAGCGUUAAUCGGAAUUACUGGGCGUAAAGCGCGCGUAGGUGGCUUGAUAAGCCGGUUGUGAAAGCCCCGGGCUCAACCUGGGAACGGCAUCCGGAACUGUCAAGCUAGAGUGCAGGAGAGGAAGGUAGAAUUCCCGGUGUAGCGGUGAAAUGCGUAGAGAUCGGGAGGAAUACCAGUGGCGAAGGCGGCCUUCUGGACUGACACUGACACUGAGGUGCGAAAGCGUGGGUAGCAAACAGGAUUAGAUACCCUUGUAGUC